AUGAACGCUAGCUACAGGCUUAACACAUGCAAGUCGAGGGGCAGCAUGAACUUAGCUUGCUAAGUUUGAUGGCGACCGGCGCACGGGUGAGUAACACGUAUCCAACCUGCCGAUGACUCGGGGAUAGCCUUUCGAAAGAAAGAUUAAUACCCGAUGGCAUAGUUCUUCCGCAUGGUAGAACUAUUAAAGAAUUUCGGUCAUCGAUGGGGAUGCGUUCCAUUAGGUUGUUGGCGGGGUAACGGCCCACCAAGCCUUCGAUGGAUAGGGGUUCUGAGAGGAAGGUCCCCCACAUUGGAACUGAGACACGGUCCAAACUCCUACGGGAGGCAGCAGUGAGGAAUAUUGGUCAAUGGACGAGAGUCUGAACCAGCCAAGUAGCGUGAAGGAUGACUGCCCUAUGGGUUGUAAACUUCUUUUAUACGGGAAUAAAGUGAGGCACGUGUGCCUUUUUGUAUGUACCGUAUGAAUAAGGAUCGGCUAACUCCGUGCCAGCAGCCGCGGUAAUACGGAGGAUCCGAGCGUUAUCCGGAUUUAUUGGGUUUAAAGGGAGCGUAGGCGGACGCUUAAGUCAGUUGUGAAAGUUUGCGGCUCAACCGUAAAAUUGCAGUUGAUACUGGGUGUCUUGAGUACAGUAGAGGCAGGCGGAAUUCGUGGUGUAGCGGUGAAAUGCUUAGAUAUCACGAAGAACUCCGAUUGCGAAGGCAGCCUGCUGGACUGUAACUGACGCUGAUGCUCGAAAGCGUGGGUAUCAAACAGGUUUAGAUACCCUGGUAGUCCACACAGUAAACGAUGAAUACUCGCUGUUUGCGAUAUACAGUAAGCGGCCAAGCGAAAGCGUUAAGUAUUCCACCUGGGGAGUACGCCGGCAACGGUGAAACUCAAAGGAAUUGACGGGGGCCCGCACAAGCAGUGGAGUAUGUGGUUUAAUUCGACGCAACGCGAAGAACCUUACCAGGUCUUGACAUCCAACUAACGAAGCAGAGAUGCAUUAGGUGCCCUUCGGGGAAAGUUGAGACAGGUGGUGCAUGGUUGUCGUCAGCUCGUGCCGUGAGGUGUCGGCUUAAGUGCCAUAACGAGCGCAACCCUUAUCGAUAGUUACCAUCAGGUUAUGCUGGGGACUCUGUCGAGACUGCCGUCGUAAGAUGUGAGGAAGGUGGGGAUGACGUCAAAUCAGCACGGCCCUUACGUCCGGGGCUACACACGUGUUACAAUGGGGGGUACAGAAGGCAGCUACACGGCGACGUGAUGCUAAUCCCGAAAGCCUCUCUCAGUUCGGAUUGGAGUCUGCAACCCGACUCCAUGAAGCUGGAUUCGCUAGUAAUCGCGCAUCAGCCACGGCGCGGUGAAUACGUUCCCGGGCCUUGUACACACCGCCCGUCAAGCCAUGAAAGCCGGGGGUACCUGAAGUGCGUAACCGCAAGGAGCGCCCUAGGGUAAAACUGGUGAUUGGGGCU
rnacentral:rRNA from 1 species